rnacentral:tRNA from 1 species
GAAUAAACUAUCUAUUGGUAAAAUUUCUCUUUGCCAAGGAGAAGGUGCGGUUUCGAGUUCCGUUAUCCGUC